GUGCGUGGGGACUCGAGGCGGGGGUGGGGGCCUCGCCCUGCCCGGGCCCU
rnacentral:miRNA from 1 species